CCCCUCUCUCCUUAUUAUCCUUAUUCUCCUUAUUACAACACGCGAAUUUCAGAACACCCAAUCUUCAAAUUUCGCCAUCUUCUUCGAGCAAAUUCUCUUUCGUUGCUAAUCAUCCACCGCUACAAUCCUUUCGAUUUGAAUCCGGAUUUGAUUAAUCCUCCUUCACAUUCAAAAACCCUAAUCUACGUCCUGUGCCACCGAAUUUAAAAUAAAAAACCCUAGAUCUGAUUAUAUAUUUCAUGUUGUCGAUUCUUCUCUGAAAGGAUUCCGGUCAGCUAGGGUUUUCUCCGCAGCAAUUGGUGGUGAUGGAUUUCUCUCUGCCGAUCUAGGGUUUAACUCUAAAUCCCCACCUAAAGCAACUUAGCCAAAAGAUACCACUUUUCUCCUAACGUUACCUGUGUAUCCAUAUGACUGGUCCGGCCAGCUGCUGAUCGUUUCUUGGAUAGAACCAACAUAAUUUGAGAGAGAGAGAGAGAGAGAGAGAGAGAGAGAGAGAGAGAGAGUUGACACAAAGAGCAGAGUGCCGGAUAUUCAAUCUCAAGCUUUCUGGAGCAGGAACAUUUCACUAAGGUGCAUCAGGUUGGAGAGACUGUGAAUGUGGACUACUUUUCGGUUGAUGGGGUUUCGGAUCAUGAAUUGCUUCUUGAUGAGGUUGUGAAACAAAGGGGGGAGCUUCAGCAUUUGGAGGUUAAUUUGAAGGCUAGAUUGAUUGCUAGAUCAGAAGUGACUGGGAUUCAUGAACGGUUUGAUUCGCAGAUUAAACAGCAUAUUACUUCAAAUGUUAAACUUCAGGAACAACUGCAUGAAAGGGAAAAGACUAUAAUGGACUUGCAAAGAACUUUGGAUGAUAAGGAUAAAGAGCUUCAUGCAAUUAGAUUGGACCAUGAAGCGGCAUGGGCUAAAGAGGACCUCAUACGUGAGCAACAAAAAAAAGGAACUGGCAACUUUUUAGUAUAUCUUUUUAGUUCAAAGUUUAAACCUUCCAUGUUUUUUUGAAUUCUGAUAAUACUUAAACAUGUUUACUCUGUGGUUGUAUAUAGACUUGCAUGUAUUAGUCACACUGUGGGGAUGUAUCUAAAAUUU